UACGUAGGGGGCGAGCGUUGUCCGGAAUCAUUGGGCGUAAAGCGCGUGUAGGCGGCUCGGUAAGUCUGCUGUGAAAGUCCAGGGCUCAACCCUGGAAUGCCGGUGGAAACUGUCGAGCUUGAGUCCGGAAGAGGCGAGUGGAAUUCCUGGUGUAGCGGUGAAAUGCGCAGAUAUCAGGAGGAACACCAGUGGCGAAGGCAGCUCGCUGGGACGGUACUGACGCUGAGACGCGAAAGCGUGGGGAGCAAACAGG
rnacentral:rRNA from 1 species